AGCCUUUAGCAAAACAAGUAUUAAAGGUAAUACCUGCCCAGUGAAAUUUAAACGGCCGCGGUAUCCUAACCGUGCAAAGGUAGCGUAAUCACUUGUCUUAUAAAUAAAGACCCGUAUGAAUGGCUAAAUGAGUAUUUAACUGUCUCCUUUGACUAACCAGUGAAACUGACUAUUCAGUACAAAAGCUGAAAUAGAAACAUAAGACGAGAAGACCCUGUGGAGCUUUAAAAUUUUAACAAGGUAUAAACCUACCUAUGAUAAAAAUUUUUUAGUUGGGGCGACUUUGGAGCAAAACUAAACCUCCAAAAAGGCAUAACCUAAACUAGGCUAACCGGCCAAACUAUCUAGACCCAGUAUUUUAUACUGAUUAAUGAACCGAGUUACCCCAGGGAUAACAGCGCCAUCUUCUUCAAGAGUCCCUAUCGACAAGAAGGUUUACGACCUCGAUGUUGGAUCAGGACACCCAAAUGGUGCAGCCGCUAUUAAAGGUUCGUUUGUUCAACGAUUAAUGUCCU
rnacentral:rRNA from 1 species